UACGUAGGGUGCGAGCGUUGUCCGGAAUUAUUGGGCGUAAAGAGCUUGUAGGCGGUUUGUCGCGUCUGCCGUGAAAUUUCGGGGCUCAACCCCGAACUUGCGGUGGGUACGGGCAGACUAGAGUGUGGUAGGGGGAGACUGGAAUUCCUGGUGUAGCGGUGAAAUGCGCAGAUAUCAGGAGGAACACCGAUGGCGAAGGCAGGUCUCUGGGCCACUACUGACGCUGAGAAGCGAAAGCAUGGGGGAGCGAACAGG
rnacentral:rRNA from 1 species